GUGUGGCAAAGAUGGCUAGCUGUCCACAAAAAAAUGUUCCACCUUCUAGAAUAUCAUAGGUGUUUUUCAGAGGCAUCUUCCCAGGCAGUGAGUAUAUUCCCCAGUACCCUCUGGUAAUUUCAAGGUACAGUCAUGACUAGUUCACACCAACAAUUAUGAGCAAAAUGAUGUGUGUUAUUUCUGAGCCUGAAUCUUUAAAAGAGGCAGUUAUUUGCUCUUCACUCAGUUUCCCUCCACUGGUUGGAGCCUUGUGGAUGGUGGAGCAACAAGGUGGAAUGAUCCUGAGUCGUGGAACACUGUGUGGAAGGCCACCACCAGAUCCCAACACAGUUAAAUAGAUUUAAUGAACAAGUAGCUCAGUGUGGUAUCAUGACAGAUGAAGACCAGAGAAUGUAAAGAACUCGAUGAAGACAGAGAAGAGCCUAUGUCUUGGAUUUCUGGGGGGAAAGAGAUUGGUAACUACAACCUGAUUUGGAAAACUUCUGUUCAGAAAUCUCCCAUAUUCAUAUUACUCACAAUUCACUAUCCAGAGCCUGUGCCAGCAUGAAUUCAAAAGGACAGAAAGCAAAAUUCCCCUCCAGACAAGAGCUCUACAGUAAAAUUCUUUCAGGGUAGAGAAGCAAGUAUUUUGAACAAUAAUAUAUCAGAGUUGUCCAUAACAAUAUCCACUGCUAUGAUAGCUACUAUUAUUGUAAAAAAGGGCAUGGAUAAAUGUUGCCCUAGACUGAAAACAAUAAUUCUGAAAGAGAAGAAUAUAAAAUGUUCUAAUCAAUUCUUAGCAGGUAAUUUAAAGCCAUAUUAUGGAGAAGUAAUAUGGAUGAAAGAUCUUGUAGCUACAAAUAACACAGGAUAAUCAUGUCCAUUUCCACAUGGAAAAACAAAUGCUCACCAAAAUAUGACCACCACAUAUUUUCAACCCCCAUCAUGGAUGACCACAAACCAUAGUCAUUGGCUUCUUGUCCAGAUUUGUUCAGAAGAGCUUUGAUUGUGUGCAGUGAAAUUGAACCAUAUGAGAGGCUUUGUAGCAA